rnacentral:rRNA from 1 species
GACGAACGCUGGCGGCGUGCCUAACACAUGCAAGUCGAACGGAAAAUUGAGCUUCGGUUCAAUUUUUAGUGGCGAACGGGUGAGUAACGCGUAGGCAACCUGCCCUUUAGACGGGGACAACAUUCCGAAAGGGAUGCUAAUACCGGAUGUGACGCUUCUAUCGCAUGACGGGAGCGUGAAAGAUGGCCUCUACGUGUAAGCUAUCGCUAAAGGAUGGGCCUGCGUCUGAUUAGCUAGUUGGUAGUGUAACGGACAACCAAGGCGAUGAUCAGUAGCCGGUCUGAGAGGAUGAACGGCCACAUUGGGACUGGGACACGGCCCAGACUCCUACGGGAGGCAGCAGGAGGGAAUCUUCCGCAAUGGGCGAAAGCCUGACGGAGCAACGCCGCGUGAGUGAAGAAGGUCUUCGGAUUGUAAAGCUCUGUUGUACAUGACGAAUGUGCCGGUUGUGAAUAAUGGCUGGUAAUGACGGUAGUGUACGAGGAAGCCACGGCUAACUACGUGCCAGCCGCCGCAGUAAAAC